UUAUUAAGCCUUUAGGAAUGUAUAACCAGGACUGAGUAAUUACUGCUUUUUAAAUUUUUUUAGUUAGAUUGACCAUGUAUGCCUAUAGAUAGAUAUUCUAACUUGUGCAAUUUCAUUUGAAAUAAUCUUCCUGUACAUAAUGGAAAAACUCACAUAACAGGAAAAAAAGCCCCCAGACAGAUUGACUGAACAAAAAGCUGAUUAAAGUACAGUUCAAAAGUGACCCAUGUAUUACAAACCCUAGCUGGACUCUUAGAAGAAAAUCUAAACUCAUUGUGUUAGCUGUGUAUUGUGAGCUCUUCUUUUACUGUGUCACUGGUUAUACACUUGUUAAAUGCUGAGAUAAUAGACUUCAUGCCAGGCAUUUGAGUACUGUAGAUUGGGUCAUUGCUGAAAGAUUAAUGUACUGUAUGACUUAAAUGAAAUUUUUAUUCUUGAUUUUAUUCUUGAUUUUGUUCUUGUUUUAAAAGAUUAAAUAUGGGCAUUAUGUCAGCAAGCUAAACUUGUGUGUCUGUGUUCUUUGUAUUUCUCUGUACAAAAUCUGGCAGGGAGGACAGCAUGCUGGGAUGAACAAAGCAGAAGAGAUUCUCUUCUGGAUGAGAACAUCAGCUGCUGUAAGGUCACAGGGCUGUGCUAGGGCACAGUGGCAGGGAGAGCCGGCAUCUCCCUUGUCUGUCUGCUCUGUCUUCCUGGGUGCUUGGAUGGGGUUUUCUGGUGUACUUCAUUUGCUGCACUUACAGGGCUUUUUUGGGCCCCAACGCCAGAGGACUCUGCUGGAGUCUGCUGUGGUUGGACUUCAGUCGAGAGAAAGGAAUCCAGCUCUGCUGUGCCUGUUCUCAAGUCCCAUCUCCAGGAAUACCUCCUGCCCUUGCCAAAUGAGGUAACAUCAACGCUUACAUCACGUCUUCUACAGCUCACUUUGUUCCUGCUCUGCCCACUUGCCGGUCAAAGAGCAGAGACGCCUGCUCUGAUCUUCCAGCACCUCCAGCCAUACAUCCCCUCUCCUUUCCUGAGACCGCUCCUCACCUCUAGUAGCCAGCUGGCAGGUGUGCAGCCAGCUUCAGACUCUCCCACAUCCUGCUGUGUCCUGCCUGCCUUGUCUGCCUGCCUUCUUCAGUUCAGGUUGCCUGACUCAGGGCUGUUGGAGCUUCCUCAGUCUCACUGGCACUUCCCUGCUUGUUGCUGAUCCUCUCCCCCUUCCCCUCCUUCAUGAUAGUGUUCCCUUGAAGCCUCUCCCAUCCCACCACCCCAUGACACCAGCAAGAGUUGGCCACAAAGACAACUUGAAUUUGCACUGAGAGUCUGAUUUGUGCCUGGGAUGCCCAGCAGCAAUCAAUAGCAUUUUGUUAAAGAGUGAUCAAGAGGGGAAAAGAAUUAAGAGGUGAUUUGCCGUAAGACCAGAAAAAUGGUUACCAAGCACUGAACAGCACAUGACUGACAGCUCUGUAAUGCCACAGAUGCAGCUGUGUCAGCCACAGCUUUCAAGCUGUUUAAGUAUUUUGGUUUCUCUGCCUAUUGACUCAACACCAGGCUACUGUACCAGAGAUCUCAAAGAUUAUCUGUUCAGGUGGGAGGGCAGGAACCCAGUUCUGCUCCAUUUAACUCCUGCCAAGACAGCAGUUCUGAACGAUGGCAGGCUUUUAGAGAAAGGUUGUAAGUGCGUUUUCAGGACCAGUCUUGCAUUUAAAAUCUUCAGACUACAUUGAUCUUUUGCUGUGGGGAAACCCAGUGUAUUUACUUCCUUGUUUACAUAUAACCCUGAUUCAGCUUUGAGAUGAACAGUAAGUGCAUAGGAAAACCUGUCCUUCAGACACUCUGUGGCUCCAACAUUGCCUCUUGGGACUGAUCUGCCAUUCAGAAAUUACCUCCAUGGCAAGAUACCACGUGCCUGUCACAGGGCUGUGCUGGUGCUGGUACUGCUGGAUAACUGCAGUGUUUUCUUUCCUCUGGAAUAUAAAGUAAGCCAAGAGAGGCUUUCAAACCAAACUUCUCCGUGACCCUGCCAUGCUUUUUGCUCACCUUCACCUCACAUGCAGGGACUUGCUGCCAUCUUCCACUAGUUUUGUAUCUCUGUGGUCUGUGCUGUAUCUCCUGUGGCUCUUGGCUGCUCAAAGAUCUUUGGUGUAUGUAUAACAAGGUCAAGAGGAUUGAUCCCAAGCCUUCUCACCCUUGGACAUUCAGAGGGCAAUUUCUGGCUGCACAGAAAGAUGAUUCAAAAACUCCAAGAGGAUUUGAAAAUAUUUGAAAAGUUAAUAAUUACCUAGUUUGGUCUGAAUUGCCAUAAUCACCCUACAUCCUUUGCAACAGGUGUUUUACUCAGGGAUACAGGAAUUGUCUUAUUCUUAGGAAAAUAACUCUCGGAACCUGGCUGCUGCUGGGUGGCCAGGGGCUCAGCGUCCCACAGUGAGCAGUGUGAUUUGUUAUCUGAGGUCAGAAAGGGGGUUACUUAAAUUCAGACUCAUUAAAUGACUGUAGAUGAGUGUGAGAGAGCCGCCAAGGGGUUGGAGCUUAUGGGUUCUGCAUCUGUACUGUGCUGAUUCACAAUAUCAUACCCUAAUUCUGUGCCUGACAGAGAUUUUACAUCAACAGGAAGGAUUUUUUCUCCAUCAUGCCUAAACUAUUGUGGACUACCUCAGACAUUGCAACGCCCUCAGUGAUAAAUGUCCAAGGAGAUGCUCAGCUAUUUAGCAACGUGUGUAUGUGGCAAUAAAGUUGUACAAGGCUAAGAAUUCCUGCCAUGUACUUUUCAUCAGUGUAAUAGAAAGAAUUAUGUAGUCAAUCAAGCCUAAUAAUGAUUAUGCAUCUAAUUUUUGUUCAGUCAAAACAACAUCAAGGACAAGUUUUUCAAGAGCUCUUGACUAUGGCAAAGAAGCGCUAGCU
rnacentral:lncRNA from 1 species